UUCCCACCUUGGAAGUCCUGCAGCUUUAUCAUCAACUUUUCCUCAUUUUCUUUCUGCUCUCUCUCAGUGUCCUCCUUGCAGGCUUCUCCAUGUGCUUUUGCCCCCGUCACUUCUCUUUCCUCUACCUGGAUUGAGAGCCCAUUAGCUACCUACAUACCCUCUCUGUCUAUAUCCCAAACGUGUGGCAGCUAGGAUCCAGCUCUUGUAAUCCAAUUCAUACUAGAAUCAAAAUUUUAUUAGCUAGCCAGUGAUAAGUGCUUGGAGGAUGCUGCGUGGUACACAAGGCUAAGGAAAACAAGGAGAAGUCAUGAUAGCUGUCCUUCGUUUCUGCAUCAAUUUUCUUGAGGGUCCUUUAUUAUCAACCGCAAAUUGAAGACUAGAAGAUUUGAAGCUUUUGGCAUAGAUGAGAUCAUGGUAGGCAACAGUUUGAGAACUUUGUCUUGUUCAGUAUGUUCUUAAACAAUAGAAUCUUAACCGCAGUUGACAUUUAUGGCGGGUUGCUAUGUGAUCCUCACACGCAAUGACGCCAUGAAAGCCCCACUUUAUUGAAGCCAAGCUUUCUUGUUGGAGGAUUUUGUUCGCCUACAGCAUUGGACUUAAUUGCUGCUGUAUGAAAUUGUUGUACCUUCUGCGCUGCCCGUAUCUGCAACUCGAUUCCGGCCUUAUCACUGUACGCCUACUCUUUCUUUCUCCCUCUCUUUCCUCUGUGGAUAUACUGCUCAUUUCACUAAAGCAGUCGGUGGUGGAGCCUUAAAUAUUUUAUUGUUGUAAACACUGAAACAUCAUUAUCAAACUCAAACACUAAUCAGGUCGAUAUCUUUAUAUAUAGUUAUGUGACUUAGA